AUUGAACGCUGGCGGCAUGCCUUACACAUGCAAGUCGAACGGCAGCAUAGGAGCUUGCUCCUGAUGGCGAGUGGCGAACGGGUGAGUAAUAUAUCGGAACGUGCCCUAGAGUGUGGGAUAACUAGUCGAAAGACUAGCUAAUACCGCGUACGAUCUACGGAUGAAAGUGGGGGAUCGCAAGACCUCAUGCUCCUGGAGCGGCCGAUAUCUGAUUAGCUAGUUGGUGGGGUAAAAGCUCACCAAGGCGACGAUCAGUAGCUGGUCUGAGAGGCCGACCAGCCACACUGGGACUGAGACGCGGCCCAGACUCCUACAGGAGGCAGCAGUGGGGAAUUUUGGACAAUGGGGGCAACCCUGAUCCAGCAAUGCCGCGUGAGUGAAGAAGUCCUUCGGGUUGUAAAGCUCUUUUGUCAGGGAAGAAUCGGUUCUGGAUAAUACCUGGGACUAAUGACGGUACCUGAAGAAUAAGCACCGGCUAACUACGUGCCAGCCGCCGCAGUAA
rnacentral:rRNA from 1 species